UGCUCAUACCUCACCGAGUUUUCUGUUAGACCAACGUGCAAAAUGCACUAAAGAUAAAAUAAUAACUCAUUGGUGCAAGUCCGGUACCGGCGCUCACCGUUUGAGAAGCUGGUGUACCAUAGGACCACAGUAACAUUUUAUACUUUAUCUUCAUUUAAAAAUAUUUUGGCAUCGGUUGUUCAAUAGGGCAUGUAUUUAGUUGUACCACGGGUCACGCAGGCAAUGACGGACUUUCCAGGCUACGUUCUUUUUUUUUACCUUUGAUGGGUUUGCUCUUGGCCCCGGACUUGCCCGAAGGCAUUGACGAGGCCUAAGGUGGAGCGAGCUCCAGAAGGUGCCUGUUCACUCUGGCCUUGAAAGCACCUGGGUUAAAUGCAUUUGGAAAUACAGAAGACGGCAGAGAAUUCCAAUCCUCCUACGUUCACCAAAAACUAUGUGUAUAGAUGGCGUUGUUCAGUUUAAGCGUGAUAAUUACCUAUUUUAUUAAAAUGUAAUGGCAGAAGCAUAUAUUAUAUAAAAAUAAUUGUUGCUUGAUAUUUGGAUCACAUUAUGUAUGGAAUUAUGUUGCUACCUCUAUUACUUCUCUUUAUUUUGAUUACAAUAACAGUGGAUGGAUGGAUAUUACAAUAACAGCCUCCGUGGUCUAGUGGUUAGAGCGUUAGGCUCACGAUCUGGAGGUCCGGGUUCGAUUCCCGAUGGGGACAUUGUCGAAAUCACUUUGUGAGACUGUCCUUUGUUUGGUAAGGACUUUUCAGACUUGAAUCACCUGAUUGUCCGAAAAAGUAAGAUGAUUCCGUGCUUCGGAGGGCACGUUAAGCCGUUGGUCCCGGCUAUUAGCCGUAAAAACACCUCCACCAACCCGCACUGGAGCAGCGUGGUGGAGUAUGCUCCAUACCCCCUCCGGUUGAUUGAGGGGAGGCCUGUGCCCAGCAGUGGGACGUAUAUAGGCAGUUUAUGUAACAGUGGAUGGAAGAUGUAAUUGUGUCUGGGUGUAAUAGAAAGGGACAUCAUUUAUACUCAAAAACAAAGAUGAUAGAUGCAGUCUGUAGUAUGCAAUCCACGAAAUUAGGAGGUAAAAAGAAGAAAAACUUUACAGCGCCAUCUACAUUGAUUUUGAGGAGCGUACCUUAGAAAGAUCCUCAUUAUAAGUACACCACUUUAGAUGUCUCUGGUAUGUAGUUUAGGCAAACAAAUAAUUUAUCAAUAACUUUGAUUGGCCUAAUUUUUUCUGUUAUCAUAGGCCUUCAUUCAAUAUUACAAUGCCAUAUUACUUAUACUAUUUAAACAUGUACAAUAAUAACUCACUAGCAAAAACAUUCCGUUAGUACUCUGAGUUUGUGUAGAUAUAACAUAGCAUCACACCCGCGUUCCCCGUAGGGGUAGGCAGAGGUGAAUAGUAUUACACCCACUCCUCGCCAAUAGAGGGCGAGCCUAUUGCCAUUAACCGGGCACCAAAUGUCAGAAACCACGUACUUUUCAUCCAAACAUGAGUUCAAACUCAUAGGGCGUGGACCCAUGUCUACGGUGCGCCGCCGGCGGAUGGCGCGACACCGUGCCGCACCACGGUGUCGUGUCCCGGCACGUACACGCUUAGCACGUAUACCAAAAUUAGUUUUGGCUUGUUACAUACAUACAUAAACUCACGCCUAUUUCCCACCGGGGUAAGCAGAGACUAUAGAAUUCCAUUUGCUUCGAUCCUGACACACUUCUCUUGCUUCCUCCACAUUCAUCAAUCGCUUCAUACACGCACGCCGGUUCAGAGUAGAUCGUAUUGAACCUUUUCUAAGGACAUCUCCAAUUUGGUCAUCGUAAGUCCUUCUCUGUCUUCCUCUGCCAGCCCUACCAUCAACUUUCGCUUUAUAUACCGCUUUUGCAAUUCUAUUAUCCUUCAUCCGCUCUACGUGUCCAAACCAACCUAACAUUCCCUUCUCAAUCCUAGUCACUAUAUCGUCUUUUACACCACAUCUCUGUCUAAUCACACUGUUUCUCACUCUAUCACUCAACUCUCUCUCUCUUUCUCUUUGGCUUGUUAUGGACCGCGAAAGACGUAUCCUGCUCCUGUUGCUGUUAAGACGACGACGAGUCGUCGACGACUAUGCAACUGACAACACAAUAGUGAGCACGUCGAUACACGACGCGCCAUCUGCCGGCGGCGGUGCCGUACCGUUGCACGGCAAACGGCGCCGUACCGUUGCACGGCAAACGAGCCCCAACCGGGAAUCGAACCAGGGACAGUACGAUGGUUCACUUUUCGGGUUCUACAACUCGCUGGAUCCUCUACGGGUCCUGUACUUAAUUCCUACCGCUUCUGCUACCCCUGCUGCGCGCGCCGAUGUACCCCGAUGUGUCGUUGUGUGAAGAGUUACAGGGAAGCCAGUAUUGUAUAAGCUGCGACCCAGAGUUCUUAUCUGUAUAUUUACUAGGGACCUUUUGACAAUAAACGUGUUAUUAUUUC
rnacentral:lncRNA from 1 species